CAUUUUACAGCUUUUGAGGUGAACAUUUAAAAAUUUUAAGACUAAAAACUUUUUUAAUGAUAGGUGUUUUAUAACAAAGUUCUAUUAUUCAGUAUGUCUCAUUAUUAGUUGCAUACAGUUGAUUUACAACAGACAAAAGAUUAUUUUAAAAUACAAAACUUAACACGGAGUAUGAUCAAAGUAGAACAAGUUAUGACUAUAAUGACGAUUAUCAUUUCAGUGGUUCGUUUAGAUUUGAAUAAAUUGACUUAUGGAAAAUAUAAGGUCUCUGGAGAUCCACAUAUACUACAGCAGCUAUUCUAAUAUUUCAUUAUUCGCAUGCAAAUAUUUGACACAAGCCACAAUGCUACUGUUAUUUAAAUAAUUUUGUUUUUACUUUUAGCGCCACUGUUUGUCUAGAAACACAAAACAAAAUCAUCUAUAUUGCCUUGAAAUAAUAUACAUUUUGAUGUUAAACAGCGGUACACUAAAAAAUAACUAUAACGAAGUUCUCGAUGGCUACUAUUAUAGUACAGUAAAAAUAAUUGUUGUUAUAUUUUUCUGGCUGUCAAGUGCUUAUAAAAACUGUAAAUAAAAAAAUAAAACGAU